GUAAUAACAGAGUUAUUCCCCCACUUACAAUGUGUAGUAAUAACAGAGUUAGUCCCCUACUUACAAUUUGUAGUAAUAACAGAGUUAGUCCCCCACUUUCAAUGUGUAGCAAUAACACAGCUAGUCUCCACUUACACCGUGUAGUGAUAACACAGAUAGUUCCUCACUUUCAAUGUAUAGUAAUAACAGAGUUAUUCCCCACUUACAGUGUGUAGUGUUCACAGAGUCAGUCCCCACUUACAAUGUGUAAUAAUAACAGAGUUAUUAGUGCCCACUUACAAUGUGUAGUAAUAACAGAGUUAAUCCCCACUUAAUCCAUCGUGUAUUGCUCGCUUCAUUGACUGAAAAAAAUUUGAUGUCUGAAGUCGAAAAAUACUUUUAUUGUUAAUAUGCUCAAACCGAUAUGUUUCAUCACAGGGUAAAAGAAGUCAACAAUGGCUAGCGGCUUAGAAACUUCAUUUGGUGGGGUCAGGCAGCUUCUUGUGCGGGCGGGUUCACUUCACCUUGUGGGGGUGGGUAUGCUGCAUUUUGUGGGGGCGGGUACGUUC